CCUACGGGAGGCAGCAGUGAGGAAUAUUGGUCAAUGGGCGCGAGCCUGAACCAGCCAAGUAGCGUGAAGGAUGACUGCCCUACGGGUUGUAAACUUCUUUUAUAAAGGAAUAAAGUGCGGCACGUGUGCCUUUUUGUAUGUACCUUAUGAAUAAGGAUCGGCUAACUCCGUGCCAGCAGCCGCGGUAAUACGGAGGAUCCGAGCGUUAUCCGGAUUUAUUGGGUUUAAAGGGAGCGGAGAUGGGUUGUUAAGUCAGUUGUGAAAGUUUGGGGCUCAACCGUAAAAUUGCAGUUGAUACUGGCAGGCUUGAGUACAGUUGAGGUAGGCGGAAUUCGUGGUGUAGCGGUGAAAUGCAUAGAUAUCACGAAGAACUCCGAUUGCGAAGGCAGCUUACUAGACUGCAACUGACGUUGAUGCUCGAAAGUGUGGGUAUCAAACAGGAUUAGAUACCCGGGUAGUC
rnacentral:rRNA from 1 species